ACUCCUACGGGAGGCAGCAGUGGGGAAUAUUGCACAAUGGGCGCAAGCCUGAUGCAGCCAUGCCGCGUGUAUGAAGAAGGCCUUCGGGUUGUAAAGUACUUUCAGCAGUGAGGAAGGUGGAUAUGUUAAUAGCAUAUUCAUUUGACGUUAGCUGCAGAAGAAGCACCGGCUAACUCCGUGCCAGCAGCCGCGGUAAUACGGAGGGUGCGAGCGUUAAUCGGAAUUACUGGGCGUAAAGCGCAUGCAGGUGGUUUGUUAAGUCAGAUGUGAAAGCCCGGGGCUCAACCUCGGAAUUGCAUUUGAAACUGGCAAACUAGAGUACUGUAGAGGGGGGUAGAAUUUCAGGUGUAGCGGUGAAAUGCGUAGAGAUCUGAAGGAAUACCGGUGGCGAAGGCGGCCCCCUGGACAGAUACUGACACUCAGAUGCGAAAGCGUGGGGAGCAAACAGGAUUAGAUACCCUGGUAGCUCUGCUAGUCGUAGGAGAC
rnacentral:rRNA from 1 species